AAAAAACGAUUAUUUUUUACCGUGAAGUUAUGAAUUUAAAACGGAUUCAGUACGCUCUAUCUUUGUUUACAAAUACGUAUAUAAAUUAUAAUGAGACAUCGUCGGACGUGUUGCUGUAUAAAUGCUGACGAUUGCAUUGUUAACAUCGAAAACUGUAAAUUAAUAUGCCACAGUAAACUCAUGAGGUUUCUGGCAUUUCUAAUCACUACAACGUUAUUAGCAAUAGCGGUGUCUUAUACUUGUGACAGACUUUCGGCAAGAGAUUCAAUCAAAUCAUUAACGGUAAACUUAGCUCACCUUCAAAAUCGUUUUCACACUCUUACGAUGGAGGUAAAUAGCGAUCUAGAUCGACGACAAAAAACAGAAGAGAAAAUAAUGGAAAUCGAUAACAUUGCUGUAAAAAUUUCAAAAAUUAUGCAACAAUGGAAUGAUAAAGAUGCUGAGAUUCACAUGCCAAGAUUAGACGAUGUGCGAAAUUUAAUCAAACAUGAAUUAAAACUUAAAGACGCUGCCAAAAUGGGCAAUACUGAUUAUGCUCUUGAAGUAUCUGGAGGUUCUAUACUUUCAAUACGAGAUACCCAAGCUUUUCAAUUUGAUUUAGACACAUUUUCAAUGUUCGAUUUGAUACCGUUUUGCCAAUGGCAGAAUAGCCCUCGAUCCGUAAUUCAAAACGACGUAUUACCUGGACAAUGUUGGGCGUUCAAAGGGUCAACAGGAUCAAUUGCAAUCAAAUUACUCCACUCUAUUUAUAUAUCUAGUAUAACACUUGAGCACAUUGCAGCCCAUUUAUCACCGAAUGGCAAAACGACUUCAGCUCCUCGAUAUUUCUCAAUUUGGGGGCUCAAAAGCAUUGAUGAUGUAAAAGGAUUCUUAUUUGGAGAAUUCACUUAUGAUAACUGUGCCUCACCAAUACAAAAUUUUCCAAUAAAAGAAAAAGCUAAUGAACCUUUCGGAAUAAUUGAAGUAAAAAUUCAUUCCAAUAGUGGAAAUCCUAAUUAUACUUGUCUCUAUAGAAUAAGAGUACACGGCCAACUCGCUCUCUAAAUAAUUAAGAUUUUACAUAUGCACUGGAAUUUCGGAUGCUGACAAUGUAGUUGAAAUUUUUCCUCUGUUUUACAUCAUCUGUUGGUUAUUUUUGCGUUCAUUACGUCUGGUGAACAUACCAAAUUAUUAGAAUAAAUCUGAAUUUGAUACUAUUCGGAUAUAAUUAGCAUUGUAUUUUUAAACCAACAACGAAACCCGUGAAAAAAUCUUUUUAUAAAAUUUUAAACAAGGCCCCGAGGAAUAAAUUCAUAAUUCAAUUGGUCAUUUAAAAAAGCCAAAUAUGUGAAAAACAGAGUUGAGUGAGCGAAUACGCAAAAGGAUUCUGGUGUAGGUGUGUUUCAGUUUAACAAUUAAAAUUUUACACUCUUUAUACAGUAUUGUGAGAAAUAAUGAUCAAAAAUACAAUUAACUAAA